GACGAACGCUGGCGGCGUGCUUAACACAUGCAAGUCGAACGGAAAGGCCCUGCUUUUGUGGGGUGCUCGAGUGGCGAACGGGUGAGUAACACGUGAGUAACCUGCCCUUGACUUUGGGAUAACUUCAGGAAACUGGGGCUAAUACCGGAUAGGAGCUCCUGCUGCAUGGUGGGGGUUGGAAAGUUUCGGCGGUUGGGGAUGGACUCGCGGCUUAUCAGCUUGUUGGUGGGGUAGUGGCUUACCAAGGCUUUGACGGGUAGCCGGCCUGAGAGGGUGACCGGCCACAUUGGGACUGAGAUACGGCCCAGACUCCUACGGGAGGCAGCAGUGGGGAAUAUUGCACAAUGGGCGGAAGCCUGAUGCAGCAACGCCGCGUGCGGGAUGACGGCCUUCGGGUUGUAAACCGCUUUCGCCUGUGACGAAGCGUGAGUGACGGUAAUGGGUAAAGAAGCACCGGCUAACUACGUGCCAGCAGCCGCGGUGAUACGUAGGGUGCGAGCGUUGUCCGGAUUUAUUGGGCGUAAAGGGCUCGUAGGUGGUUGAUCGCGUCGGAAGUGUAAUCUUGGGGCUUAACCCUGAGCGUGCUUUCGAUACGGGUUGACUUGAGGAAGGUAGGGGAGAAUGGAAUUCCUGGUGAGCGGUGGAAUGCGCAGAUAUCAGGAGGAACACCAGUGGCGAAGGCGGUUCUCUGGGCCUUUCCUGACGCUGAGGAGCGAAAGCGUGGGGAGCGAACAGGCUUAGAUACCCUGGUAGUCCACGCUGUAAACGGUGGGUACUAGGUGUGGGGUCCAUUCCACGGGUUCCGUGCCGUAGCUAACGCUUUAAGUACCCCGCCUGGGGAGUACGGCCGCAAGGCUAAAACUCAAAGGAAUUGACGGGGCCCCGCACAAGCGGCGGAGCAUGCGGAUUAAUUCGAUGCAACGCGUAGAACCUUACCUGGGUUUGACAUGGAUCGGGAGUGCUCAGAGAUGGGUGUGCCUCUUUUGGGGUCGGUUCACAGGUGGUGCAUGGCUGUCGUCAGCUCGUGUCGUGAGAUGUUGGGUUAAGUCCCGCAACGAGCGCAACCCUUGUUCACUGUUGCCAGCACGUUAUGGUGGGGACUCAGUGGAGACCGCCGGGGUCAACUCGGAGGAAGGUGGGGAUGACGUCAAGUCAUCAUACCCCUUAUGUCCAGGGCUUCACGCAUGCUACAAUGGCUGGUACAGAGAGUGGCGAGCCUGUGAGGGUGAGCGAAUCUCGGAAAGCCGGUCUCAGUUCGGAUUGGGGUCUGCAACUCGACCUCAUGAAGUCGGAGUCGCUAGUAAUCGCAGAUCAGCAACGCUGCGGUGAAUACGUUCCCGGGGCU
rnacentral:rRNA from 1 species